rnacentral:misc_RNA from 1 species
AAUUCUCAACUUCAAAAGCUUUUGCUUCUGAAGCUUGGACUGUGGAGGCUUGCUGGGUGGGCAUCAGUAGAUGUCUUCGGCUCCUCUCAAAUGCAUUAGCGGAAACCGGAUUAGUCGGACCUAAGCCUUGGUGUGAUAAUUAUCUACGCCUUGGUGUCUGGCAAGAAAGGCUCUUUGGUUGGGAUAGCUGCAACUUAAGCUUGCUCUGUCUGCUUUCAUUUCAAGGGGUCGUUUUUUGGUAUCUGCUCUCUAACCGUCUGUUUCCACGGACAAACUAACAUUGACUU